GGAAUCAUGCCUCCCAUGAGAACCAGGCUCCACAGUCAGGGGAUCCUAGAGGCACCCACAGAACCAGCCCUGAAGAGGUCAAGCCCCAGCUCCGUGGCUUCUGAGCCACGGGUUGGGGAUCGGUCUGGAUGAGAUUCUGACAGCCCCUCUGGGGACCCAGGCCAGAUGCCCAGGACACAGGCUGGCCACAGGCCCCUCCUGCAGAGGAAGAGCUGUCCACCCCAGAGAACAUCUAUCUCUCCAGGCCACCAUUCCCAGAAUGACAACUGGCUCCUGCACUUACCACCAUGUGCCACACCCUGAGGGACUG